UCAAAUCUGUUGAGUCUUGGCUGAAACAACCGCAAUAUGUACAAACAGCUCUACAACUAAAUCUCACUUUCUGGGAACUAGCCACUGUAUAUUACAUAACUAUGCUUGCACUUGUCAUACCUUCUGUUCAUGUCCUAUGAAGUAUGGAUACACAAGGAGUAUUGCUCACAAGUCCGUGACAUCAAAAGCUGGGCAAAAGGAAUCUAGCCGAAGCACAGAAUGUUGUCAUUGACCUGUUCAUCAAUUGAAACGUCAAAGCUUUUAUUAAACUGUAAAUAGCAAACUAUCCAUCUACUCCCUCUGUUCUUUUAUAUACGAUGUUGAUUACCUCAACUUUGAACUAACCAGAAUCGUAUAUAAAAGAACGGCAGGAGUAAUACAGAAGAAUAUCAAGAAGCUAAGGACAUAUUAGUUGUUCUCUUUCGUUUUUUCCAAAGUAUCAUUAUGUAUUUUUUUCUAUGACAACUUUCUAUCGAAGUUACUAAUAAUAAUGUGAUGUGCUUUGUGUUUAUCAAUUUUGGCAGUAACCUACAGCUACUGCAAGCAUAUUAGGGAAUCUCAUGGCAAAAUCUCUGCAAGCAUAUUUCUUACACACUAACAUCAUGCAUUGAUCCUAGUUAAAAUGCAGAAAAGAUGCAGAAAAAUAAAUGUGAAAGGAUUCUGCAGUGCAGUAAUUGCUAACUAAGUUUAAAGCAAUGUAGUGUUAAUGAUCUAUCACUGUUUUACUUCAAAAAAGGGCACCAGUUUUGGCAAGGAAGAAUAAUUGCUCUUAAUUUUUUAGGGAAAAAAUCUUAUAUGCCACUAGGAGUUAGGACAAAAAAAGUACUUUGUCAGAUUACUUAUAUGCUCUUAUUAAAAUACAAUUCAAACAGUUCAUGGAUUCCUGGAGCUUUCCUUUCCUCUCAGUUUACCACAAUUUUGGUGUUACACAAAAAGUAAAAAGUGCGAAACAGAACCUAAUUAAAACAAAAUGGAAACAUGAAGCACUAUCAGAUUUUAUAGUAUGUUCUUACCAGUCCAACAUAUCCUGCUUCAGUAGCUCAUACAGUCACUCUUGGCUCUGGAAUGGAUCGCUUGAACUUACCUCAUUCUUUGCAAACUGUCAUAAAUCAAUGGUCAGAUUCAGCAAAAGCAGAAAAAAGAAAAAUGUUUCAAGAGUCUAUCCAGGUUAUUGGGGAGAAACAAACCGUUGCUGUUGUUAUUGUCGCCAUUGUAACAGGUUGACUAGAUGGCAAGACAAAGUUGCUCCAAAAAAGUGGGUCAGCAGAAGGAUCAGCUGGGCUCCAGGUACUCUUCAUUGGUGUAGGCAUGACAGGGGCCAUUGAGUAAGUAGCUCUUUGCACUAGCAGCUCAUUCAUGUUAAUAUUAACUGCCGCUGUAUCAUGUCCAGUAGCAGGUACCGAGCCAACAGCCUUUCCUUCAACAAUUUCUUUACUGAGUGUACAUUCUUCAGAUGAUUUUGUAGACUUCUCCAAGAAGCUUUUGAAGGCAUCAGACUGAGAUAAUAUACCACAUGCUGAUAAGCCCAUUGAAGAGGGCUUUGAAGGAGAACAGAGGCCAAGAGAAGGCAACUUAUACGGUUCAGUCUGUUGCAUUGAACUUUCAAUAGCUCGGACUUCAUCAGCAAUCUCUUCUGCUUUAGAUGUAUCUGACUGCCG
rnacentral:lncRNA from 1 species